AAAAUACUCCCUCCGUCCCAAAAUUCUUGUCUUAGAUUUGUCUAGAUACGGAUGUAUCUAACACUAAAACGUGACUUGAUACAUCUGUAUUUAGACAAAUCUAAGAUAAGAAUUUUGGGACGGAGGGAGUACUAC
rnacentral:pre_miRNA from 1 species